rnacentral:rRNA from 1 species
UACGAGGGGGGCAAGCGUUGUUCGGAAUUAUUGGGCGUAAAGGGCGCGUAGGCGGUGCGGUAAGUCACCUGUGAAAACUCUGGGCUCAACUCAGAGCCUGCAGGCGAAACUGCCGUGCUUGAGUAUGGUAGAGGUUGGUGGAACUGCGAGUGUAGAGGUGAAAUUCGUAGAUAUUCGCAGGAACACCAGUGGCGAAGGCGGCUUGCUGGGCCAUCACUGACGCUGAGACACGAAAGCGUGGGGAGCAAACGG